CCUACGGGAGGCAGCAGUGGGGAAUUUUGGACAAUGGGCGAAAGCCUGAUCCAGCCAUUCCGCGUGAGUGAAGAAGGCCUUCGGGUUGUAAAGCUCUUUCGCAAGGGAAGAAAACUUAGAUACUAAUAUUAUCUGAGGUUGACGGUACCUUGAUAAGAAGCACCGGCUAACUACGUGCCAGCAGCCGCGGUAAUACGUAGGGUGCGAGCGUUAAUCGGAAUUACUGGGCGUAAAGCGUGCGCAGGCGGUUUUUGUAAGUCAGAUGUGAAAUCCCCGAGCUCAACUUGGGAACUGCGUUUGAAACUACAAGACUAGAAUAUGUCAGAGGGGGGUAGAAUUCCACGUGUAGCAGUGAAAUGCGUAGAGAUGUGGAGGAAUACCAAUGGCGAAGGCAGCCCCCUGGGAUAAUAUUGACGCUCAUGCACGAAAGCGUGGGGAGCAAACAGGAUUAGAUACCCUGGUAGUCCACGCCCUAAACGAUGUCUACUAGUUGUUGGUGGAGUAAAAUCCAUGAGUAACGCAGCUAACGCGUGAAGUAGACCGCCUGGGGAGUACGGUCGCAAGAUUAAAACUUAAAGGAAUUGACGG
rnacentral:rRNA from 1 species